UGUUCCAGAUGUCAUGAUGUUGUUUUUUUAAUUAUUUUUUUUCUGGUGAUGGACACCCUCUCUCACAAUCCAUGCUCAGCUUUUGUUUCUCUCUCUCUUUCUUUUUCCCCUUUUCUAUCCAUUUUAUUCUGCAUGUUCCAGAUUUUUGGUUUUUUAAUUAUUUUUUGGUGGAAAGGCAUGCAUCAUUGCUGCCAGAUGUGGAUCAGGUAUGGUUUUUUAAUUAUUUUUUUAUGGAAAGGCAGGUACCAUUUGCUGCCAGGUGUGGAUUAGGUAAGGGAAAAACGCUGGAAUCGAAGAGGGAGUCAGAAUUUAAAAGAAGAUACACAUGAUGAACAGUAGCCCUCUCACAGGAUGAACAGUGGACGGGAACUGCUUUAGUAGAUAGCUACAACAAUAUAGAAAAAAAAAAGGAAACAGGAAAGUAUCAACCCGUGGCCUUUGAGGGCAAGGCAGUCUUUUCACUGUGGAAAAGAUGACAAAAAUUUGG
rnacentral:lncRNA from 1 species